rnacentral:rRNA from 1 species
CGGCCGCGUCGACGCAAGUCGAACGGAGUAGAAAUACUUAGUGGCGGACGGGUGAGUAACGCGUGAGAAUCUGCCUUCAGGACGGAGACAACAGUUGGAAACGACUGCUAAGCCCCGAUGAACCGAAAGGGAAAAUAUUUAUAGCCUGAAGAUGAGCUCGCGUCCGAUUAGCUAGUUGGCGGAGUAAAAGCCCACCAAGGCGACGAUCGGUAGCUGGUCUGAGAGGACGAUCAGCCACACUGGGACUGAGACACGGCCCAGACUCCUACGGGAGGCAGCAGUGGGGAAUCUUAGACAAUGGGGGCAACCCUGAUCUAGCCAUGCCGCGUGAGUGAUGAAGGCCUUAGGGUUGUAAAGCUCUUUCAGCUGGGAAGAUAAUGACGGUACCAGCAGAAGAAGCCCCGGCUAACUCCGUGCCAGCAGCCGCGGUAAUACGGAGGGGGCUAGCGUUGUUCGGAAUUACUGGGCGUAAAGCGCACGUAGGCGGACUGGGAAAGUUGGGGGUGAAAUCCCGGGGCUCAACCUCGGAACUGCCUUCAAAACUAUCAGUUCG